rnacentral:rRNA from 1 species
AGAGUUUGAUCCUGGCUCAGAACGAACGCUGGCGGCAUGCCUAACACAUGCAAGUCGAACGGGUACCUUCGGGUGCUAGUGGCGCACGGGUGCGUAACGCGUGGGAAUCUGCCCUUGGGUUCGGAAUAACUCAGCGAAAGCUGUGCUAAUACCGGAUGAUGUCGUAAGACCAAAGAUUUAUCGCCCAGGGAUGAGCCCGCGUUGGAUUAGCUAGUUGGUGGGGUAAAGGCCUACCAAGGCGACGAUCCAUAGCUGGUCUGAGAGGAUGGUCAGCCACACUGGGACUGAGACACGGCCCAGACUCCUACGGGAGGCAGCAGUGGGGAAUAUUGGACAAUGGGCGAAAGCCUGAUCCAGCAAUGCCGCGUGAGUGAUGAAGGCCUUAGGGUUGUAAAGCUCUUUUACCCGGGAUGAUAAUGACAGUACCGGGAGAAUAAGCUCCGGCUAACUCCGUG